AAUCGACGUUUCGACUAGUUUGUAGUCCUUCCUCCGGAUUAAUCCUGAGGAUGACUACAAACUAGUCGAAACGUUGAUU